rnacentral:rRNA from 1 species
AACGAAGCACCUUGCGCAGAUCGCUUCGGUGUGAAGCGCUUGGUGACUUAGUGGCGAACGGGUGAGUAACGCGUUGGUGACCUGCCCCGAAGAGGGGGAUAACAGCUCGAAAGGGCUGCUAAUACCCCAUGAGAUCUACCUGGUUAGAGUGGGUAGAUGAAAGGAGAAAUCCGCUUUGGGAGGGGCCUGCGUCCCAUCAGCUAGUUGGUAAGGUAAAGGCUUACCAAGGCGAAGACGGGUAGGGGGCCUGAGAGGGUGACCCCCCACACUGGCACUGAAACACGGGCCAGACACCUACGGGUGGCAGCAGUAGGGAAUAUUGCACAAUGGGCGAAAGCCUGAUGCAGCAACGCCGCGUGCGCGAUGACGGCCUUCGGGUUGUAAAGCGCUUUUCGGGGAGAUGAGGAAGGACAGUAUCCCCGGAAUAAGGCUCGGCUAACUACGUGCCAGCAGCCGCGGUAACACGUAGGAGCCAAGCGUUAUCCGAAUUCACUGGGCGUAAAGCGCGUGUAGGCGGCUUAUUAAGUUGGAUGUGAAAGCUCCCGGCUCAACUGGGAGAGGACGUUCAAGACUGGUAGGCUAGAGGGCGACAGAGGGAGGUGGAAUUCCCGGUGUAGUGGUGAAAUGCGUAGAUAUCGGGAGGAACACCAGUGGCGAAGGCGGCCUCCUGGGUCGCACCUGACGCUCAGACGCGAAAGCUAGGGUAGCAAACGGGAUUAGAGACCCCGGUAGUCCUAGCCGUAAACGAUGUAGGCUUGGCGUCGGCGGGUUUAAAUCCGUCGGUGUCGAAGCUAACGCGAAUAAGUCUACCGCCUGGGGACU